rnacentral:rRNA from 1 species
AUUAGCUAGUUGGUGGGGUAAAGGCCUACCAAGGCGACGAUCUGUAGCGGGUCUGAGAGGAUGAUCCGCCACACUGGGACUGAGACACGGCCCAGACUCCUACGGGAGGCAGCAGUGGGGAAUAUUGGACAAUGGGCGGAAGCCUGAUCCAGCCAUGCCGCGUGUGUGAAGAAGGCCUUUUGGUUGUAAAGCACUUUAAGCGAGGAGGAGGCUACCUGGAUUAAUACUCUGGGAUAGUGGACGUUACUCGCAGAAUAAGCACCGGCUAACUCUGUGCCAGCAGCCGCGGUAAUACAGAGGGUGCGAGCGUUAAUCGGAUUUACUGGGCGUAAAGCGUGCGUAGGCGGCUGAUUAAGUCGGAUGUGAAAUCCCUGAGCUUAACUUAGGAAUUGCAUUCGAUACUGGUCAGCUAGAGUAUGGGAGAGGAUGGUAGAAUUCCAGGUGUAGCGGUGAAAUGCGUAGAGAUCUGGAGGAAUACCGAUGGCGAAGGCAGCCAUCUGGCCUAAUACUGACGCUGAGGUACGAAAGCAUGGGGAGCAAACAGGAUUAGAUACCCUGGUAGUCCAUGCCAU